AUGGCUCAGGACGAACGCUGGCGGCGUGCCUAAUACAUGCAAGUCGAGCGGACAGAAGGGAGCUUGCUCCCGGAUGUUAGCGGCGGACGGGUGAGUAACACGUGGGUAACCUGCCUGUAAGACUGGGAUAACUCCGGGAAACCGGAGCUAAUACCGGAUAGUUCCUUGAACCGCAUGGUUCAAGGAUGAAAGACGGUUUCGGCUGUCACUUACAGAUGGACCCGCGGCGCAUUAGCUAGUUGGUGAGGUAACGGCUCACCAAGGCGACGAUGCGUAGCCGACCUGAGAGGGUGAUCGGCCACACUGGGACUGAGACACGGCCCAGACUCCUACGGGAGGCAGCAGUAGGGAAUCUUCCGCAAUGGACGAAAGUCUGACGGAGCAACGCCGCGUGAGUGAUGAAGGUUUUCGGAUCGUAAAGCUCUGUUGUUAGGGAAGAACAAGUGCAAGAGUAACUGCUUGCACCUUGACGGUACCUAACCAGAAAGCCACGGCUAACUACGUGCCAGCAGCCGCGGUAAUACGUAGGUGGCAAGCGUUGUCCGGAAUUAUUGGGCGUAAAGGGCUCGCAGGCGGUUUCUUAAGUCUGAUGUGAAAGCCCCCGGCUCAACCGGGGAGGGUCAUUGGAAACUGGGAAACUUGAGUGCAGAAGAGGAGAGUGGAAUUCCACGUGUAGCGGUGAAAUGCGUAGAGAUGUGGAGGAACACCAGUGGCGAAGGCGACUCUCUGGUCUGUAACUGACGCUGAGGAGCGAAAGCGUGGGGAGCGAACAGGAUUAGAUACCCUGGUAGUCCACGCCGUAAACGAUGAGUGCUAAGUGUUAGGGGGUUUCCGCCCCUUAGUGCUGCAGCUAACGCAUAA
rnacentral:rRNA from 1 species